rnacentral:rRNA from 1 species
UACGUAGGGGGCAAGCGUUGUCCGGAAUUACUGGGCGUAAAGCGCGUGUAGGCGGGACGGCAAGUCGGACGUGAAAGGCUCGGGCUCAACCCGAGAAGGCCGUUCGAACUGCCGUUCUUGAGGGUCGAAGAGGAGAGUGGAAUUCCUGGUGUAGCGGUGAAAUGCGCAGAUAUCAGGAAGAACACCCGUGGCUAAGGCGGCUCUCUAGUACGGUACUGGACGCUGAGACGCGAAAGCGUGGGGAGCGAACAGG